AGAGUUUGAUCAUGGCUCAGGACGAACGCUGGCGGCGUGCCUAACACAUGCAAGUCAGGGAGAAUUCCCGACUUGUCGGGAUAGUAAACUGGCGAACGGGUGAGUAACACGUAGGUAAUCUACCCUCGGGAUGGGGAUAACCUACCGAAAGGUGGGCUAAUACCGAAUAAUGUUCCGCUUUAAUCGAGCGGAAUGAAAGGUGGGGACCUUCGGGCCUACUGCCUGAGGAUGAGCCUGCGUCCCAUUAGCUAGUUGGUAAGGUAAUGGCUUGCCAAGGCGACGAUAGGUAGCUGGUCUGAGAGGAUGAUCAGCCACAUUGGGACUGAGAUACGGCCCAAACUCCUACGGGAGGCAGCAGUGAGGAAUUUUGCGCAAUGGCCGCAAGGCUGACGCGGCAACGCCGCGUGACCGAUUAAGCUCUGAGGAGUGUAAAGGUCUGUCGCAGAGGAAGAAACUGCCUGAUGAGAAUAUUGUCAGGUACUGACGGUACUCUGUGAGAAAGCUCCGGCUAACUCCGUGCCAGCAGCCGCGGUAAUACGGGGGGAGCAAGCGUUGUCCGGAAUCACUGGGCGUAAAGAGCGUGUAGGUGUCCUAAUAAGUCUCUGGUGAAAGCCUUCUGCUUAACGGGAGAAUUGCCGGAGAUACUAUUGGGAUUGAGUUCAGAAGAGGGAAGCGGAAUUCCUGGUGUAGCGGUGAAAUGCGUAGAUAUCAGGAAGAACACCGGUGGCGAAGGCGGCUUCCUGGUCUGAUACUGACACUGUGGCGCGAAAGCGUGGGGAGCAAACAGGAUUAGAUACCCUGUAGUCCACGCCCUAACCGAUGGAUACUUGGCGUUGGGAGCUCGAUCCUCCCAGUGCCGUAGCUAACGCGUUAAGUAUCCCGCCUGGGGACUACCGGCGCAGGUUGAAACUCAAUGAAUUGACGG
rnacentral:rRNA from 1 species